AGGACGAUCUCCGUGGAAACAGCUGUCCGCGAAGUCUUCACCGUGAGAAGACGGAUGAGUCAAUUAAGGAACCUGUGAUUAAGGGUGUGAGUAGGCUGGUGCUGACAGAACUGUGAAGGUGAAAGGCACAAUGUGAUCCGCUCGAGAGAUGCACAAAGAACCGACACGCUCUUCCUUCCCGAAGUCCUCCGCUCGGACGUGAAGCCGGCCACGCACGGUAAUGAGACGGAAGAUUCAUCGCCGCUGACAUUCCCGGCUA